CGGCAACCCACUCGGGUCCCCUUCCACGCUGUGGGAGCUUUGUUCUUUUGCUCUUCACAAUAAAUCUUGCUGCUGCUCACUCUUUGGGUCCACACUGCCUUUAUCAGCUGUAACACUCACCGUGAGGGUCCGUGGCUUCAUUCCUCAAGUCAGCGAGAUCACAAACCCACCAGAAGGAACAAAUAACUCCAGACACACCACCUUUAAGAGCUGUAACACUCACUGCGAAGGUCUGCAGCUUCACUCCUGAAGUCAGCGAGACCACGAACCUACUGGAAGGAAGAAACUCCGGACACAUCCGAACAUCUGAAGGAACAAAUUACAGACAAACCAUCUUUAAGAGCUGUAACACUCACCAUGAAGGUCCACGGCUUCAUCCCUGAAGUCAGCAAGACCAAGAACCCACCAGAAGGACUAAAUUCCGGACACAAUAACACCAGCAUUUUAGGAGCUGGAAGAUGGUGGAAUGGCAAGCAACUUCAGAUGAAUUCCCUAGCCAGCAGUGAGGAAACAUUCACUAACAGAGCAGAAUCCCCCCUGCAGGAAUUCACAACAUUGUGUAUCUUUCCGAGUAGUGGCACAGGGACCAAGAGGAGGCCCAGGAAAAGGAGAGGAAACACAAGAAAAAGGCAGAGAGAGGGAUACCUUGAAAUGGAAUGCAGGCCUGGGACUCCAUAAGCCUGCUGUUCCAGCCAGCCUGUUUCAGAAUUGUCUUUCCUGACGCCUAGCUUUUGGAUGCUACAGAGGGCCCCUGAAGCAUCCAGAAGAGAGGACACAAUUGCAGAAACUAGUUGUUUUACUAAGGCUUUGACUGGAAGGAUAUGCUUCCCUUUGAGGAAUCAAGCUUGGCGUACAGAGCCAAUAAAAGCCCCUUGGGGAAACUGGCUUCAUACCUUGUCUAUACAGUCCCUGUACAGGGUUCCUAACCUGUGGCUAUCAAGCUCCAAAUGGUAAUGCAAAUGAAAUCACACAUGGACACGCCUUUCUUCCAAGGACUCUCAGACCAGCCCUAGGAGGAAUCGUAGCUGCUGUUCCCCACACAAAGCUACUCUGUAGCAGCAAGUAGCCGCAAGGCUCAUCGCCCCAUCUCCCUAACAGCACUUAGGGUCUCCACUCCUGAGGCGGGGGGGGGGGAAAUGAAAGAGUAGAAAGGAAGAAACUGAUUAGGCAGGCAGUUAGCUGGGUCCUCAGUUGAAUUAUUUCAAACAGAAGAACAACCUGCAAGCACAGAUAAGGGAACCUGCAUAGGAGGGCUUGCCUAAGAUAUGCCCACAGCCACACAGAUAAGAAAGCCUACACAGGUGACUUGCCUGGACACGCCUGCAAUGGAAAAUUCUGUCCCCUGACACAUGCACGGUAAGGGGAACAAAGCAAUAUGGAGUGACUCAAGCUAAGGACCUACAUGCGCACUAGGAGGAUAGGGUGGAGCUAGCAGAAGUUUGUGCCUUAUGCAAAUGAGAUGCCAAGGCCUCAUCAGUUUCUUAUAAAAGCCUUUACAUUCAACUGUUAAAAUGGCUAUCCUCUUCUGGACCCCCCUCCAUGGCAGAGAGCUUUCUUUUUUUGCUUAUUAAACGUUCACUCCAACCUCAUCCUUUGUGACCACGCUUCUUAAAUUUCUUGGUCAUG
rnacentral:lncRNA from 10 species